UAUUUCAAGGGGAAUUGCAUAGUUAGCCUUUGCUAGUUAUGAUAUCGUAUAUUCUUAAAUGUAUUCAAUGAACCAUUUCUACGAUUAAGAACUGACUUUGGCACCGGCGAUACUCGUUCUUUGCAAUGGUUGCACCAAAAUGGUCCAUCAGUCAUGGCAUCCAUGACAUUGUUGCAUUUUGAGCAUGUUAGGUACCAAAAUUUUUGUGUCAGAUCAACAACCUUGCAAAUGGCUUGGAUCCAGUGGAAUUCAUACUGCACAUUAAUUUAGUUAACUUUCUAUGCUUUUGUGAGGUCAAGUUUAAUAAUGUAUUCCAAGUUUUGAUGUUGUACCUUGUCAACAGUGGUUGGUCGAAAGCUGAUUAACCUUAAUGGGGCCCUUUUUGUGUGGUGUCUUGUGCCGCAGUGGUGUCACACUUGUAUUCCUUUCUGGCUUUGGCAAUUUGUGGAUUGCCUUUGCAUUAGCCAUACACCUACAGCAGUUGUUUAAUUGGGUUUUAGAGCUUAUAUUUUGUGAUACUUAUAAAUGGACAUUCUUACCAAGCACGUAAUUUUUCAGCUGCAAGAAUUGGCAGAUUGAAGUUGAAGGUAGUAGAACCUCUUGUAGCCAGCUGGAAACCUGUCAACAUAAUGCUUGCCAUCUCUAUCUAGUGGGAUCUUAAAGCGAGAAUGUGCAGUGCGACCAUUUGGCAAAAUUGAUGCAGCAACCCCAGAAGUAGCCGUUGCAAGUGCAAUACUCCUAGCAGAUCUUAUGGUUGUAAGUAAAGUACGAUAUAGGAAGGUUUUGCCUGUGCCACCAGGACCAUCUAUGAAAAAAGAGAAGUUACUUGGGUUAAGCUUUCCACAAGGACCAUGCAUCAUGUGUCUCAACAUGGCUAGAUAGAGAUGUGGAUUUUCAUUUUCAUCGGUAUUUCAGCAGAUAUAAAUUGGUCAAAAUGCUCAGGACUUGUAAGUUUGUGACCUCUCUUCAAUAUCAGCAGCAAGUGCACAUGCGGUAGACCUCUUUUUUGGAACUCGAUUACAUAGGUGUAUGCUUGAACAGGACCAAACAGUUUCUUCUUAAUGACCUCUUUUUUCAUCUGUUCCAAUUUGCUUUUAAAGACUCUAGCCACGAGAUCAGGCCUGUUCUGUACAUCUUCAUGUGGCUUCAAUUCAUUUGUAAUUUCUAUCCAUUUGGGAUUACAAGUCAUCGUUAAAAAUACAUCUGGUUUUCCGUAUCUUUCCACUAAUGCCAUUGCAUCCAGAUAUCUUUUGUGCAUGUCCCGUGGGCCUCCUAUGAACGAACCAGGUAGGAUUAUCUGCGUUCCAAUUUUGGAUCCCCUUGAUUCUCCUUGCGCUACGCUGUCUAUAAUUCCUUGGUACAAAUCCGCUCUUAUUUCAUCUUGCUUAUGCCUAAAGUAAUCCAGCCUUGAAGUUUCAAUCUUGACAUACCUACGGCAUAUUGUUGUAGCAGCCGACCUGAUUCUAAGAUAAUAGAAUCAAUUUUUGGCCGUAUUUGAAACCGGUACGCAUAGAACUCACGAGCCAAAACCAUAUUUUGUUUUGUCGAGUUUUCUUCAAACACCGAGGAUGAAGCGCAACAAUAAUAAGUAUUUAUUUACACCAAUUUUGGUAAUGAAUAGCUUAAUAAAUUAUUUUACUCACAUAGAGAUUCAGCAUUGAGUAGCUGUUCUACCGUUGUAGAUUCAUCUGGUAUAGAUAACGUCUGGGUAGAACAUUUGUAGCAAUUGGUUCGUUUAAUGCCGCGAUGCCAUCCUGGUUCUCCAUAUGGAAAUAAUAGUGGAUACUGUAGAGGGUCAUAGCAUCCAUAGUAAUAUUUUAUUGUUACACUAUGGCCAUCAUGCUUCUGAACCAAUAUAUCACGUUCUCUUAGUUCUGAAGCAUCUUCGGUGUCCUUCCAGAUAAGCGCAACUUGUGAUGCUGCUGGUGCACUAAAGGUUUUAUCAUUCACAAUUGGAUCAGCUCUAAGCCUUAUCUGGUAGGAAUCUAUAUUCGGUGUUGUUGAUAGGGAUCUGAAAAACUUUGAAUAGGGAUUGGGUUUUAAGAUAUCUAUAAGUAGAGUAAUGGUGGCUAGAUCUAAAUUGUCCAGACAGUCUAAUCUGUGCUCAACUUCCUUUGCAGUGUCGUA